rnacentral:rRNA from 1 species
GCAAGUCGAACGGAAACGAAACUAGCUUGCUAGUAGGCGUCGAGUGGCGGACGGGUGAGUAACGCGUAGGAAUCUGCCUGAUAGUGGGGGAUAGCCCGAAGAAAUUCGGAUUAAUACCGCAUAAUCUAUUCGUAGUAAAGUGGGGGACUUUCGAGCCUCACGCUAUCAGAUGAGCCUGCGUAAGAUUAGCUUGUUGGUGGGGUAAAAGCCUACCAAGGCAACGAUCUUUAGCUGGUCUGAGAGGAUGAUCAGCCACAUCGGGACUGAGACACGGCCCGAACUCCUACGGGAGGCAGCAGUGGGGAAUAUUGGACAAUGGGGGCAACCCUGAUCCAGCAAUACCGCGUGUGUGAAGAAGGCCUGAGGGUUGUAAAGCACUUUCAAUUGUGAAGAAAAGUUAACGGUUAAUAACCGUUGACCUUGACGUUAACUUUAGAAGAAGCACCGGCUAACUCCGUGCCAGCAGCCGCGGUAAUACGGAGGGUGCAAGCGUUAAUCGGAAUUACUGGGCGUAAAGCGUGCGUAGGCGGUUUAUUAAGUCAGAUGUGAAAGCCCCGGGCUUAACCUGGGAACUGCAUUUGAAACUGGUCAACUAGAGUAUGGUAGAGGAAAGUGGAAUUUCUGGUGUAGCGGUGAAAUGCGUAGAUAUCAGAAGGAACAUCAAUGGCGAAGGCAGCUUUCUGGACCAAUACUGACGCUGAGGUACGAAAGCGUGGGUAGCAAACAGGAUUAGAUACCCUGGUAGUCCACGCCGUAAACGAUGAUAACUAGCCGUUGGGGGGAUUUACCCCUUAGUGGCGAAGCUAACGCGUUAAGUUAUCC